rnacentral:rRNA from 1 species
GACGAACGCUGGCGGCGUGCCUAAUACAUGCAAGUCGAACGCAGUGGGGACGGGUGAGUAACACGUGGGUAACCUCCCAUCAGAGGGGAUAACACGUGGAAAAAGGUGCUAAACCGAUACUGAUGGAUGGACCCGCGGUGCAUUAGCUAGUUGGUGAGGUAAAGGCUCACCAGGGCCACGAUGCAUAGCCGGCCUGAGGGGGUGAUCGGCCACACUGGAACUGAGACACGGCCCAGACUCCUACGGGAGGCAUCAGUAGGGAAUUUUCGGCAAGGGGCGAAAGCCUGACCGAGAAACGCCGCGUGAGUGAAGAAGGUUUUCGGAUCGUAAAACUCUGUUGUUAGAGAAGCGGUAUCUGACCAGAAAGCCACGGCUAACUACGUGCCAGCAGCCGCGGUAAUUC